rnacentral:rRNA from 1 species
UUAGGAAUCGUACACAAUGGACGAAAGUCUGAUGUCGUGACGCCGCGUGAAGGAUGAAGGUUUUCGGAUCGUAAACUUCUUUUCUGUAGGAUGAUUAUGACAGUACUACAGGAAUAAGCACCGGCUAACUACGUGCCAGAAGCCUCGGUAAUACGUAGGGUGCGAGCGUUAUCCGGAAUUAUUGGGCGUAAAGAGCGCGUAGGCGGUCUAUCAAGUCCAGUCUUAAAGCCUGCAGCCUAACUGCAGAGAUGGACUAGAAACUGUUAGACUUGAGUAAUUGCAGGGGUGAGCGGAAUCUACGGUGUAGGGGUAAAAUCCAUUGAUAUCGUAGAGAACACCAAUGGCGAAGGCAGCUCACUAGGCAUUCACUGACGCUGAGGCGCGAAAGCGUGGGUAGCGAACGGG